AAAUCGGUCACAUCGGCUAAAUAAUUCUUUAAUACUUGUUCGGACCGACAUUGAAAACAUUUUGAAAAUACAUUUGUAUGUUGUGGAACGUAAGUCGUUCGGACCGACAAUUUGUGUUUUCGCUGAGUUUUCACUGACAGCUCUCAAAUUUAUUUGUUUGUUUACAUUUGAGUAACAAGAAUGAAAUCUGAGAAAAAGAUGUUAAUUGCGAAAGCAUUGGCUUUGAGAAGCCAAAUAAAUAUCCUGCUCAUCGACAAUUCCUCAAGAGAACUAUUGGGAUGUCUUACUACUCAGCACCAUGCCUUGGCAAAAAAAAACCGAGUUAAAGAAACAACAUCUAAUCGUAUUAGAUUUUAUAAAGAACCUUGGGAUGCCGAUUAAUUCAUGUUGGACAAAAGUGUGUAUACGUUCCUACUGAUGCAAAAGUUUUCAAUCAUAUAUUAUUAAUUCCAGCAACGUAAGAAUCAGUUUUGGGAACACGAUUGCCAACGAAACGGAUCUGCUUUUUUUAAAGAGAACUUUCGCAUGGACCGAAGUUCCUUUGAUAAAUUAAGUGACAUCCUCCGCCCGUUACAAAAAAUGGAUACAAAUUACCAAAAAGCUAUUCCUAUCGAGAAAAGAGUGGCUAUAACAUUAUUUGCUUUAGGGUAAUCUGCAGAGUAUCGUAGUAUCGCCAACAUGUUCGGUGUAGGAAAAUCUACGGUUUGCGAAAUUUUACUGGAAUUUUGCACCGAAAUCUGGAGAUUACUGCAGCCAUCCUCUUUUAAAAUGUUGCCUCUAAACAGAGAAAAUGUAACCGCAUUGGUGACUGGUUUCGAGGUAAUUGGAUUCCCACAAUGCUUAGGAGCAAUUGACGGAUGCCACAUUGAGAUUCAUCCAUCAUCUGACGAAGCUGUGGAUUAUUAUAAUUAUAAAGAUACUGUUUUACUUACAUAAACGUAGGAAGUCGUAUGAGACGUCAUCACUUAAAAAAGAAAUGGAUAGUUGUCCUUUACUAAGCGCAAUGUCUAGAGAAA